UACGAAGGGGCUAGCGUUGUUCGGAAUCACUGGGCGUAAAGGGCGCGUAGGCGGCUUUAUAAGUCGGGGGUGAAAGCCUGUGGCUCAACCACAGAAAUUGCCUUCGAUACUGUAGAGCUUGAGACCGGAAGAGGUAAGUGGAACUGCGAGUGUAGAGGUGAAAUUCGUAGAUAUUCGCAAGAACACCAGUGGCGAAGGCGGCUUACUGGUCCGGUUCUGAACGCGUGAGGCGGCGAAAAGCGUGGGGGAGCA
rnacentral:rRNA from 1 species